rnacentral:rRNA from 1 species
CUACGUGCCAGCAGCCGCGGUAAUACGUAGGUGGCAAGCGUUGUCCGGAAUUAUUGGGCGUAAAGCGCGCGCAGGCGGAUUGGUCAGUCUGUCUUAAAAGUUCGGGGCUUAACCCCGUGAUGGGAUGGAAACUGCCAAUCUAGAGUAUCGGAGAGGAAAGUGGAAUUCCUAGUGUAGCGGUGAAAUGCGUAGAUAUUAGGAAGAACACCAGUGGCGAAGGCGACUUUCUGGACGAAAACUGACGCUGAGGCGCGAAAGCCAGGGGAGCGAACGGGAUUAGAUACCCCGGUAGUCCUGGCCGUAAACGAUGGGUACUAGGUGUAGGAGGUAUCGACCCCUUCUGUGCCGGAGUUAACGCAAUAAGUACCCCGCCUAGGGAGUACGACCGCAAGGUUGAAACUCAAAGGAAUUGACGGGGGCCCGCACAAGCGGUGGAGUAUGUGGUUUAAUUCGACGCAACGCGAAGAACCUUACCAGGUCUUGACAUCCCUCUGACCGCUCUAGAGAUAGAGCUUUC